AGUGAACGCUGGCGGUAGGCCUAACACAUGCAAGUCGAACGAGAUCUUCGGGUCUAGUGGCGCACGGGUGCGUAACGCGUGGGAAUCUGCCCUUUGGUUCGGAAUAACAGUUGGAAACGACUGCUAAUACCGGAUGAUGACGAAAGUCCAAAGAUUUAUCGCCAGGGGAUGAGCCCGCGUAGGAUUAGCUAGUUGGUGGGGUAAAGGCGCACCAAGGCGACGAUCCUUAGCUGGUCUGAGAGGAUGAUCAGCCACACUGGGACUGAGACACGGCCCAGACUCCUACGGGAGGCAGCAGUGGGGAAUAUUGGACAAUGGGCGAAAGCCUGAUCCAGCAAUGCCGCGUGAGUGAUGAAGGCCUUAGGGUUGUAAAGCUCUUUUACCCGGGAUGAUAAUGACAGUACCGGGAGAAUAAGCUCCGGCUAACUCCGUGCCAGCCGCCGCAGUAA
rnacentral:rRNA from 1 species